rnacentral:tmRNA from 1 species
GGGGGUGCGUGGCUUCGAUUUCGUGGAUCGAGGCGGGUGAAGCGAGCCGACGUUGCCGAAUCGUCGUUAAAAAGUUGGCACCAUAGAUACAUGCCGAGGAUAACCUCGCACUCGCUGCCUAGUUUUUAACUAGCAGCGCGUCCACUCCGGUUCGGCCGUUCGACCGGGUACGGGCGCCAUUUUGAACGGCUUACCGUCGGGACGGGCUCCGUGGUCCGACGGGACACUCAAGCGGAGUUGGGAUUAGCGCAGGCCGCCAGUGGGCGGCGUUGAUCCGAGACUUACCCACUGGCUGCGCUCGGAGAAGCCCCGCCAAAGACUCGGAAGACCCGGGUUCGACUCCCGGCACCUCCAC